AGUGGCGAACGGGUGCGUAACACGUGACCAAUCUGCCUUUGGGAGAGGGACAACCUGGGGAAACCCGGGCUAAUACCGCAUGAUGUGUCGCCUUCGCAUGUUGGUGACACCAAAGGGGGCCUCUACUUGUAAGCUCCCGCCCAAAGAGGAGGUCGCGGCGUAUCAGCUUGUUGGUGAGGUAAUGGCUCACCAAGGCUACGACGCGUAGCGGGUCUUAGCGGACGACCCGCCACAUUGGGACUGAGAUACGGCCCAGACUCCUACGGGAGGCAGCAGUGGGGAGUAUUGCGCAAUGGUCGAAAGACUGACGCAGCGACGCCGCGUGUGGGAGGAAGCCUUUCGGGGUGUAAACCACUGUCAGAGGGGAAGAACACUGUUUGUUCGAACAGGGCAAGCAGCUGACGGUACCCUCAAAGGAAGCGCCGGCUAACUCCGUGCCAGCAGCCGCGGUAAGACGGAGGGCGCAAGCGU
rnacentral:rRNA from 1 species